GCUCGUAGUUGGAUAUCUGGCUUUGCACGGACGGCCCGCCUUCGGGUUGAGUGCUGGAAGUGCUAGCCUAUUUUCUGGUUGGCGUUCUUUCCCUUUAUUGUGGCGAGUUUCGCGAUCCGGAUCGUUUACUUUGAAGAAAUUCGAGUGUUCAAAGCAGGCUUACGCCGUGAAGAUUGCAGCAUGGAAUAAUGACAUAGGACUAUCGUGUUCUAUUUUGUUGGUUCUGGGACCGUAGUAAUGAUUGAUAGGGACAGUUGGGGGUGCUGCUAUUCCGCGGCCAGAGGUGAAAUUCUCAGAUUCCCGGAAGAGCAACUUAUGCGAAAGCAUUCACCAAGGAUGUCUUCUUUAAUCAAGAACGAAAGUAGGGGGAUCGAAGACGAUCAGAUACCGUCGUAGUCUCUACCAUAAACUAUGCCGACUAGGGAUUGGUGGACGUUGUUUUAUCCGACUCCAUCAGCACCUUAUGAGAAAUCAAAGUCUUUGGGUUCCGGGGGGAGUAUGGUCGCAAGGCUGAAACUUAAAGGAAUUGACGGAAGGACACCACCAGAAGUGGAACUUGCGGCUUAAUUUGACUCAACAC
rnacentral:rRNA from 1 species